GAUGAACGCUGGCGGCGUGCCUAACACAUGCAAGUCGAGCGAACGGACGAGAAGCUUGCGUCUCUGAUGUUAGCGGCGGACGGGAGAGUAACUCGUGGAUAACCUACCUAUAAGACUGGGAGAACUUCGGGAAACCGGAGCUAAUACCGGAUAAUAUUUUGGACAGCAUUGUUCAAAAGUGAAAGACGGUCUUGCUGUCAGUUAUAGCUGGAUCCGCGCUGCAUUAGCUAGUUGGUAAGGUAACUGCUUACCAAGGCAGCGAUGGAUAGCCGACCCGAGAGGGUCGACCGCUAGCUGGGGAGAGAGGAUGGGCCGAGACUCCUGGGGGGGGACACAGUAGAGACUCCUCCGGGAGGGGGGAGAGGCUGACGGAGGAACGCCGCGUGAGUGAUGAAGGUGUUAGGCUGGGAAAACUCUGAUAUUAGUAAUGAACAUAUGUGCAAGUAGCUGUGCAGAUCUUGACGGUACCUGAUCAGAAAGCCACGGCUAACUACGUG
rnacentral:rRNA from 1 species